GCUGUAGUACCUCAGUGGUAGAGGCCCCGCUUUGCAUGCGGGGAGACCUGGGUUCGAUUCCCGGCUGCUUCC
rfam:Toxocara canis scaffold1999, whole genome shotgun sequence.